CAACCUCGUACUUUAGGUCAAUUUAAGUUGUUUUGAUUCGAGCGUCACUGAUGAGACUUUUGUAGACGAAAUAGUUAUCAAAGGUUCCAGGAUUAUAAUCUAAUAUGUCAGACGCGCGUUUCGUCUACAUAAGAUUCAUCAGUGACGCUCAGAUCAAAAUAGUUAUAAAGCCAAACAAGUACAAAGUUGAAGCACGUCUGGCGCAAAUACAAUAUUUUAAUCCUGGUAUCUAUGAUGAUUGUAUUUACAAUCACUUAGUCGAUACCACUGCUGGUGAAGUUUUUAUUCCCCGAGGGAUUCACCAGCCAAAUAGCCAGC
rnacentral:lncRNA from 1 species